rnacentral:rRNA from 1 species
GAUGAACGCUGGCGGCGUGCCUAAUACAUGCAAGUCGAGCGAACAGACGAGGAGCUUGCUCCUCUGACGUUAGCGGCGGACGGGUGAGUAACACGUGGAUAACCUACCUAUAAGACUGGGAUAACUUCGGGAAACCGGAGCUAAUACCGGAUAAUAUAUUGAACCGCAUGGUUCAAUAGUGAAAGACGGUUUUGCUGUCACUUAUAGAUGGAUCCGCGCCGCAUUAGCUAGUUGGUAAGGUAACGGCUUACCAAGGCAACGAUGCGUAGCCGACCUGAGAGGGGUGUCGGCCACACUGGAACUUAGACACGGUCCCGAAUCCUACGGGAGGCAGCAGUAGGGAAUCUUCCGCAAUGGGCGAAAGCCUGACGGGGCAACGCCGCGGGAGGGAUGAAGGUCUUCGGAUCGUAAAACUCUGUUAUUAGGGAAGAACAAAUGUGUAAGUAACUAUGCACGUCUUGACGGUACCUAAUCAGAAAGCCACGGCUAACUACGUG